rnacentral:rRNA from 1 species
AUGGACGUUGAGGGUGCUCCUGACUCCAUAUCUUGGCGGCUAGAGUCCACCGGCCGCUUCUCCACAAAAUCCUUAUACUCGGCCAUCGCUCCUUCGUCGACCGCUGAGCCCUUUAACCUGAUUUGGGACAUCCGACUCUCUCUGAAGAUCAGGAUCUUCAUGUGGCAGUGGAUUCGGGUACGCCUACCCUCUGGGGUGGAGGUCCUCAAGCGUAACGGCCCAGGAGAUGGGAUGUGCCCUCUCUGUGGCACAGUGGAGGAUGCUAAUCACAUCUUCUUCUCCUCCUCCACGGCCCAAUUCCUGUGGUCUUGCUUUCGCGAGACGGUCGGUGGACAGUGGUGUAACACCAACUUCCCGAACCUACUUGCCGAGAUCCAUGCCUUCGCCCUUGCCACCGCCAUAUUAGAUGGAUUUGCGUUGGGUCCUCGCCUAGACGCUUUGGACAAUCUGCAACAAGCUUGUCAUUCAGAAAGUGCCUCUUCGACGUGUGACUGGCGCGGUCUUUAA